AGGGGAACAAUUACAUCCGGAUCAAGCAAUCACUCAACUUACCUUGCAAGACAAGUCUGUCCGUACAAGACAACCCUAACUUGGAGUGCAAGGCAUAAGAGUGACUGAUGUAGAAGAGAAGAAGGCAAGAAGAAUGUUUGGAAUCGCCUAAGGGAAGUGGGGAACCAUUGGGAGUGCAGGUCACGGGUCUGGUUAAGGAUUCAAAGUCUUCCCACCCGUUAGGACCUGUCACUAUCCAGGACCACUCUGCCCAUCUCUCCUUUGUCUUAACCUCUUUGUUUAUUGUUUCCUUAAUGUCGACAUCUUGCUGUAAGAGUUCUAUAAAUGGGUUGUUCCCAUAAACAAAUGAAUUAAAGGGAAAAGAGUUCUCUAUUAUUCUCUUUGUCAAUCUCACUCUCUCCCUCACGGAUUAACCUAGUUCUUCUCGAAUCUCUUCACAAAUCCUCCUUAAACUCUCACAUUAAUUCUCUAAAAC
rnacentral:lncRNA from 1 species